rnacentral:rRNA from 1 species
UACAGAGGUGGCAAGCGUUGUUCGGAAUUACUGGGCGUAAAGGGCGCGUAGGCGGCCUUCUCAGUCAGACGUGAAAUCCCCAGGCUUAACUUGGGAACUGCGUCUGAUACUGGAAGGCUUGAGUGCGGGAGAGGGAUGUGGAAUUCCAGGUGUAGCGGUGAAAUGCGUAGAUAUCUGGAGGAACACCGGUGGCGAAGGCGGUUCUCUAGUACGGUACUGACGCUGAGACGCGAAAGCGUGGGGAGCGAACAGG